GUUUGUUCACGUGGUGGAAUCCCAAAAGAAGGAGUGGAAGCAUGCAAUGCUUCUCGAGACUUAGACUGAGAACCAGUACACUAUAACUUUCAUCACAUCCUGCUGGCCAAAGCAAAUCCAAAUUCAAGAGGAUCAUGGCGGCCACUGUGUUGGAGAUAGACUAAAAAGGGACAGAGCCAGAAGCAAGGGACCAGCUGGGAGGCCACUCCAACUACACAGCGCCAGAGCCCAUGAAGCGAGGUCAGGUCCUAAUGCUGCUCUGGAUCGAUGGCCCUCGGACGCCCACGUGAGGCUGCGGCGGCUCAGCAAUUUCCUGCCAUCACUUGCUGAGCACAAAUGAAAUCACUUCCAGUGACCUAAUGCGUGCUGCUGCCACCGAGAAAACUGAAAAAAGAGGUGAAGAGGGAGCCGCAGGAGAAGCCGGGGAGCACAGGUGCUCUCAGGCUGUGUCUCUAGGGUGCAGUGAGACUGGAAGGGCAUUUGCAACCCAGGAAGGCAGCUCGCUGUCCAGAAACACGCCUGCCUCCCUUUGCCCACUUGUGAAGUCAUCAGAGGCUACCUGAGAGCCGAGCAUGGGCUUCUGAGGGGUCUGCAAAGACCCUGAACUUGUCUGCAGGCUUUGGUGUGAGUGUGCAGGUUAUCUGGGAAGAUUUCCCAAAGAAUCUGUGCCCCUCAAAAGGUGGCAUUGCCUUAAAGAGCUGGCAGCUUCCCCUCCGGGUUCCCUGAACAUUGCCAGAGUGAAUUAGCACUGAGAGCUCCGAGAUGUCCUUGCUGGCAGUGGCCAUGGGUGCUGGUCUAUCCACAGCCCCCUGAAGCCGAAGGUGGAAGGUCAGUCCAGCUGCCUUUCUGCUUCCCUGGACUCCCUGCUGUAGCCCCAGCCCUGGAGCCAGCGUGACCCUGGGGGAAGCCUGCCUCUCACUCCAGAGGCAACCUGGGCCCCGCACAACCAGGGCAGCCCUCCCCCCGAGGGAAGAGAAGUGAGGGAAGGGAAGCCACACUCUGGAAUCAGGCGCAGUGCCCAUCACUUCAGAGCAUCCAUUUACUUCUUACAACACCUGCGACAUGGACCUCAUUGUCCCCAUCUUCGAAAGGGUGAAGCUAAGGCCUGGAGACAUUCACUUGCUCAAGAUUACACUGAGACCUCUCUGUUGGGUCAGGUGUGCAGGCCUGCUGUCCCCAGAGCCAAGGCUUUUCAGCCCCAGGACACAAGAGAUCGUUCGGGGGUGGGGGGGCAGUCUGCGAACCAUUGUGUUAUAGCUAUGGUUCCCCCACAGCAGUGUUUGCUCCCACGGUCCAGCAUUUGCACAUCCUGUUUCCACUGUCUGCGGGUCCCGCUCAGCCACUGUGGACUUGAGAAAAAAUCCACUCGCCUGUCAGCCCUCAGCUCAGCUUUCUUCUGUGCUCAGAAACCCUCUCUGCCCUCCCCCAGCCUCCCCCCCACCCGCCCGCAGCCGAUUUCAGUCCUUUCUUCUCAGCUCCCAAGCACAACACAGACUUUUAUUAAAGGACACAACACGGAGUUCCCGUCGUGGCGCAUGGUUAGCGAAUCCGACUAGGAACCAUGAGGUUGCAGGUUCGGUCCCUGCCCUUGCUCAGUGGGUUGACGAUCCGGCGUUGCCCUGAGCUGUGGUGUAGGUUGCAGACGCGGCUCGGAUCCAGCGUUGCUGUGGCUCUGGUGUAGGCCGGUGGCUGCAGCUCCGAUUGGACCCCUAGCCUGGGAACCUCCAUAUGCCGCGGGAGCGGCCCAAAGAAAUAACAAAAAGACAAAAAAAAA
rnacentral:lncRNA from 1 species